GAUCUCUACAUUAUCCAUCAGUUAUAUUUGUUCGGACCAUGGAUGAUUUUUUCUUACUUUUGUUUUUUUAAAUGAAAUUAGUCUAUGAUUUUUUAUAGAUUAUACACUCAAUUCGAAUUUAAUGUGGUACCAAUUCAAGAGUCCAAAACGUAACAGAGAUGGAAAACCAGUCAGGUAAGGACUCACAAAAUAACAAGACCAAACUCGAAUCUGUUCUUGUCUCUGGAACUUAUAACAUCUUAUACAAUAAAGGAGACUUUAGUCUCUCCUUAGGCCGCCACGUCACCAAAUAAGGAUGGGCGUUUUUGAACACGUGGCCUCUUCUUUCUUCGUGUGUUCUCGACUUUUUUUAGUGGCAAAGGAAAGUGGGUCAUGGCCCGUAACGAGCGUUUAGUUGGCCGGAGGACAAGAUAUGUCGUCACCAACACCAAAAUUUAAGCAAAAAAAAACCAAAGCUUCACCUUUUACACUUCCACGAUUCUCUUAAUGCUUCCAAAACUCUACCAUCAAUUGUAACACAUGAUUUAACUCUUCAAAGUCUUUGUACCAUAUAUUUAUUGUUCAAAUAAAUCUUUGCAAAAUUACCUCUUACUCAAAGUUCCAAUAGAUAGACAGCAGCCGCUAGGGCUAGAAAUCACGAUAGGCAUCAUGAGUUUUCUUUUGUAAUGGAGAUUCGGUUGCGAAAUUGAGAAAUCUCGCAACGAAGCUGCACAAUCUGAUGACUGAGGAACUUUGAGAUGGUGCGUCUAGACGACGAUAAUGGUAAUGAGCUUUCCCUCCUUUUGAUUUGAUCAUUUGAAUCUGACAAGAAACAACUUUCAACAGGAGCAAAUCAAAACUUACAUAGUGAAAACAGAUUGGCUUUCACAGUAAGCAUGUGGAUUUCAGACAUGUGGUAGAAUUUUAGUGUGGAAAAUUCAAUCGAAAAGAUCAGAUAUCUAGAAAGUCUCCAAAGGCAGCUGUUGUCGCAGAUUGUGAACUCAUCUCUUAUAAAAGCAGGAUUUGCUUUUGUUUGUUUUCUUUCCAAAGUCUUUUGGUUACAAGUUUGGUGUGUUCUUAUGGCAGGCUUUUUGAUUCAAGAAGGAACAGCGACAACGCUUCUCCAAGGUUCCAUAUUUGUUCAUCGCCUUAACACUUUUAAACAUAUGCUGAAAGAGGGAGCUGUUUACAAGCUCAGUAGGUUUGAUGUUACCUGAGACACUACUCUUUGCAUAAUCAGCGAAUAAAACUGGUGUCUGAGACACUACUCUUAUUGACUUUCAAGAGGUAAGAAACUAUCUUUACAUUGCUUCUUCCAUGUUCUUACUUACCCUCAAAAUGAUUUUAGGGAAACUCUAUCCUCUAGCUUCAUCAAGAACGUUUGAAUCUACUGCUUGCUUUAGCCAAAGAAUAUGAUGUUAACAGAGAGCAAGUCUAGAAAUUCAUUAGGCAAUAUCUUGGGGUUGAGGAUGCACCCAGUAAAUCUUUUGUUUUUGUAUUUUGAUUGAUAUUCUUCAAUAUAUUUCUCUAGAUGAACGAGCCCUCUUUAGGUGACGAUGGAGAGGUUCAUUCUACAGAUAAUGAGGCUUUAUCUAUUGUUUCCUAUCGCAUUGAGUGGAAUAUGAGACAUGCUCUGAAGCCUACAUAUGAAACUCUCUUUGAGUUGUUAAAAUACUCUUCCUGGAGGGUUGCAUUUUUUGUCCAUCCUAUGUGUUGAUCUUCAUUAGUCAUGCUACAGAUGUGGCUUACUCCUGCUUCUUUAAAGCUUGAUCAAAUCACUUGGGAUGAUCAUGCUUCCUUGCUUGAGAAAACUGUUGCUAAUGAGAUAUGUGAAAGUAUUUUCUAUUAUAAUAAUAUCCAAAACAACUUCGGUUUCUUAUCUAACAUUCUCUUAUUUAUAAAGCGGUGCAACAAAUCAGCAACAUCUUCGAUCUUAAAAAAAAUUUGGAAUAGGGCCUCGAUGCUUUGGUUAUUAUCAUCCAUCUAUUCAUGGCGGGGACAACAACCUAGGUGACGAUACGCCAGGAGCCUCAUGUGUGUCCUGCAUCUGCUCAAAAAACCAUAAGCUGUCUGCAACUGAUCAGGCCACCUGCAGUGGUGGCUUCCACUUACUGAAACAACAGGAACUGAGGAAAACACAGUCGGGAGCUCAGCAAAGGAGCCACAUGUUUCAACAACAGAGAGGGAGCUUAAGAAGGAACCCAAAGCAUAAAUGCUGAAGAUAGCCAAGUGAAGACUCUUCCACUUUCUCGCAAGCUUUUUUUUCAUUUAGUGUUUUUAAAGAAAAUAUUUAUGGUUCUACUUUCACAUUUCCUAUAUUCUAAAUCAAUAAAAGAAUAUUUCGUCUUAAUCCAUCUAAGUCUUGGUUG